GCUACCACCGCAAGGACUUCCCAGCUUCUCUGGAGCUCAUUUUGCAUGUUGGGAUUUUUGGGACUUUACCUCCCCUCCUGAAAGACCAGGACACCAUGAGAGGUGCUGCAAGAUCUGCCUGAAGGAGGAGUGAUGGCAAAGGCUUCAGGGCAGCUGAAACAAGGUGUGCCAAGACCUUCAAGGAUCUUUCCCUCUUGACCACUGCCACUGCUGCAUGCCAAGGCCCAAGGAGCACACUGCUGUAGCAUGCAGCACGGCUGGGACUCCCAGGCAAUACUGGGGCAUAUUGCCUGAGGCCAGGUAUUUUGGGACUGCUUCAUUUCCCCCCUGCAUGCAUAUCUGGGUCCUGGUGCUGGUGCAGCCCCUGCUCCCGACCCCACAAAGCCCAGCCACGAGGCCAGGCACUGCCAGCAGCUCUGGAUGAGCAGCAUCAGCACAGUGCUGUGAAGGGAGCCUUUACCGGCUGCAGUUCUGACCCUGAGGCUCCUGACCUGCUUUCCCACUGCCAGCUACAUUUUGACCCAUUAAAGGUCAUCGGAAGCUGUGUUUAUUUUUAGUUUUCCCUUUUAAGCUGCCCUCAAGCACCGAGGACUGACGGGAGGAAGAACCAUCCUCCCUCCCACCAGCGCUGGACCAGGACCCCGGGACAUUGAUGCUGAGCAGCCGUGCCCACCACGAGUCCUAACGAGAGGCACGGCACUGGUGGCACCAGGCUGGCACAACUCCUGCCAUGCUCCCCAGGGAGCCCCCGGCUGCUGCUUCCCAGGAAACAGAGAAGCACAGCAGUUCCUGCACAGCUUGGGGAUCGCUGGGUCUCUGUACCCACCAGGCUGGCCUGGGGACACAGCAUUUUCCUCCCCCUUCCCCAUCGCCCACCCUCCAUCCCAUGCUGCAGCCAGCCACCAUGAGGAGCCUGAGCCACGUAAUUAGGAAAAAUCAUUUCUUUUUACACUUCUAAGAUCUAAAAAUGGAACGCGGGCACUUCAAAUAAAUUCCUGGAGAACAAAACUGAGAAAACACAAUGGGAUUUGUAUCAAAGUGUUUGGAUUAAUUAGCUUAAACUGAAAGCUUUCAUUCUGAUUUCAACCUCAGCUUUAUGUACCAAUAAAUAAAUAAAAAAAUUAAAGCAACAAAGCUUUGCAAGUUGAAAAAUCGAAAUGUUGCGCCCUGAAAAUAUCAAAACGAGAUGCUUAGCCUCGCCGAGCUGCUUUGUUUCUUUCUAAAAGCAAAUGGCAUCAAGACCAACAUCUUUGUAAGCAGCUUAGA